rnacentral:rRNA from 2 species
GCUGACGAGUGGCGGACGGGUGAGUAAUGUCUGGGAAACUGCCUGAUGGAGGGGGAUAACUACUGGAAACGGUGGCUAAUACCGCAUAACGUCGCAAGACCAAAGAGGGGGACCUUCGGGCCUCUUGCCAUCAGAUGUGCCCAGAUGGGAUUAGCUUGUUGGUGAGGUAACGGCUCACCAAGGCGACGAUCCCUAGCUGGUCUGAGAGGAUGACCAGCCACACUGGAACUGAGACACGGUCCAGACUCCUACGGGAGGCAGCAGUGGGGAAUAUUGCACAAUGGGCGCAAGCCUGAUGCAGCCAUGCCGCGUGUAUGAAGAAGGCCUUCGGGUUGUAAAGUACUUUCAGCGGGGAGGAAGGUGUUGUGGUUAAUAACCACAGCAAUUGACGUUACCCGCAGAAGAAGCACCGGCUAACUCCGUGCCAGCAGCCGCGGUAAUACGGAGGGUGCAAGCGUUAAUCGGAAUUACUGGGCGUAAAGCGCACGCAGGCGGUCUGUCAAGUCGGAUGUGAAAUCCCCGGGCUCAACCUGGGAACUGCAUUCGAAACUGGCAGGCUUGAGUCUUGUAGAGGGGGGUAGAAUUCCAGGUGUAGCGGUGAAAUGCGUAGAGAUCUGGAGGAAUACCGGUGGCGAAGGCGGCCCCCUGGACAAAGACUGACGCUCAGGUGCGAAAGCGUGGGGAGCAAACAGGAUUAGAUACCCUGGUAGUCCACGCCGUAAACGAUGUCUACUUGGAGGUUGUGCCCUUGAGGCGUGGCUUCCGGAGCUAACGCGUUAAGUAGACCGCCUGGGGAGUACGGCCGCAAGGUUAAAACUCAAAUGAAUUGACGGGGGCCCGCACAAGCGGUGGAGCAUGUGGUUUAAUUCGAUGCAACGCGAAGAACCUUACCUGGUCUUGACAUCCACAGAACUUUCCAGAGAUGGAUUGGUGCCUUCGGGAACUGUGAGACAGGUGCUGCAUGGCUGUCGUCAGCUCGUGUUGUGAAAUGUUGGGUUAAGUCCCGCAACGAGCGCAACCCUUAUCCUUUGUUGCCAGCGAUUCGGUCGGGAACUCAAAGGAGACUGCCAGUGAUAAACUGGAGGAAGGUGGGGAUGACGUCAAGUCAUCAUGGCCCUUACGACCAGGGCUACACACGUGCUACAAUGGCGCAUACAAAGAGAAGCGACCUCGCGAGAGCAAGCGGACCUCAUAAAGUGCGUCGUAGUCCGGAUUGGAGUCUGCAACUCGACUCCAUGAAGUCGGAAUCGCUAGUAAUCGUGGAUCAGAAUGCCACGGUGAAUACGUUCCCGGGCCUUGUACACACCGCCCGUCACACCAUGGGAGUGGGUUGCAAAAGAAGUAGGUAGCUUAACCUUCGGGAGGGCGCUUACCACUUUGUGAUUCAUGACUGGGGUGAAGUCGUAACAAGGUAACCGUAGGGGAACCUGCGGUUGGAUCACCUCCUUACCUUAAAGAA